AUUGAACGCUGGCGGCAGGCUUAACACAUGCAAGUCGAACGGUAACAUAGGUGCUUGCACCUGAUGACGAGUGGCGGACGGGUGAGUAACGUAUGGGGAUCUGCCGAAUGGAGAGGGACAACAGUUGGAAACGGCUGCUAAUACCUCAUAAAGUAGAAAUACCAAAGGGGUGGGCUCAGAGAUGACCACUUGCCAUUUGAUGAACCCAUAUGAGAUUAGCUAGUAGGUGAGGUAAAGGCUCACCUAGGCGACGAUCUCUAGUUGGUCUGAGAGGAUGACCAGCCACACUGGAGCUGAGAAACGGACCAGACUCCUACGGGAGGCAGCAGUGGGGAAUAUUGCACAAUGGGGGAAACCCUGAUGCAGCCAUGCCGCGUGUAUGAAGAAGGCCUUAGGGUUGUAAAGUACUUUCGGUGAGGAGGAAGGUAAGAGUUUAAAUAGAGCGAUUACUUGACGUUACUCACAGAAGAAGCACCGGCAAACUCCGUGCCAGCAGCCGCGGUAAUACGGAGGGUGCGAGCGUUAAUCGGAAUGACUGGGCGUAAAGGGCAUGUAGGCGGAUAGACAAGUUAGGUGUGAAAUCCCUGGGCUCAACCUAGGAACAGCAUCUAAAACUGUGAAUCUAGAGUAUUGAAGGGGUAGGUAGAAUUCCACGUGUAGCGGUGAAAUGCGUAGAGAUGUGGAGGAAUACCGGUGGCGAAGGCGGCCUACUGGACAAAUACUGACGCUGAGAUGCGAAAGCGUGGGUAGCAAACAGGAUUAGAUACCCUGGUAGUCCACGCUGUAAACGAUGUCGAUUUAGAGUUUGUUGUGAUAAAACGAUGGGCUCUGAAGCUAACGCAUUAAAUCGACCGCCUGGGGAGUACGACCGCAAGGUUAAAACUCAAAUGAAUUGACGGGGGCCCGCACAAGCGGUGGAGCAUGUGGUUUAAUUCGAUGCAACGCGAAGAACCUUACCUGGUCUUGACAUGCACAGAAUCCCGUAGAGAUAGGGGAGUGCCUAAGGGAGCUGUGACACAGGUGCUGCAUGGCUGUCGUCAGCUCGUGUUGUGAAAUGUGGGUUAAGUCCCGCAACGAGCGCAACCCUUAUACUUUGUUGCCAGCACAUAAAGGUGGGGACUCAAAGUAGACUGCCGUUGAUAAAGCGGAGGAAGGUGGGGACGACGUCAAGUCAUCAUGGCCCUUACGACCAGGGCUACACACGUGCUACAAUGGCGUAUACAAAGGGAAGCGAAGGAGCGAUCUGGAGCGAAACUACGAAAGUACGUCCAAGUUCGGAUUGGAGUCUGCAACUCGACUCCAUGAAGUCGGAAUCGCUAGUAAUCGUGGAUCAGAAAGCCACGGUGAAUACGUUCCCGGGCCUUGUACACACCGCCCGUCACACCAUGGGAGUGGGUUGCACCAGAAGUAGAUAGCUUAACUGUACGUAAGUAUGGGUGGCGUUUACCACGGUGUGAUUCAUGACUGGGGUG
rnacentral:rRNA from 1 species